rnacentral:misc_RNA from 1 species
AAAAUUAUGGAAUAGUUUGUUCUAUAAACCCAUUCUGCGUAUCUGUUACCGUUGCUUCCGUGAGCCAUGGCUCUGCCCACAUCGGCCCCUUAUGGCUGAUGAGCGCUCACGGUAAGGAAUCAUCAACUCUGUUUUUUGUUUGCCUGGUCUGAUAUUUAAAGCAUAUUAAAAUGUUA